rnacentral:rRNA from 1 species
UACGAAGGGGGCUAGCGUUGUUCGGAAUUACUGGGCGUAAAGCGCACGUAGGCGGAUAUUUAAGUCAGGGGUGAAAUCCCAGAGCUCAACUCUGGAACUGCCUUUGAUACUGGGUAUCUUGAGUAUGGAAGAGGUGAGUGGAAUUGCGAGUGUAGAGGUGAAAUUCGUAGAUAUUCGCAGGAACACCAGUGGCGAAGGCGGCUCACUGGUCCAUAACUGACGCUGAGGUGCGAAAGCGUGGGGAGCAAACAGG